rnacentral:pre_miRNA from 1 species
AUCACUUGGGGAUCUUGUUAAAGUGCAGAUUCUGCUUCAGAAGUUUUGGGAUGGGGCUGCGGGUCUGCAUUUCUAACAAGCUCCCAGGCGGUGCUGC